rnacentral:lncRNA from 1 species
UCAAUAGUUUUUAAACUAUAACAUAGUGCUUUUGGAACUAUAACUUAGUGUAUUCUGAUCCCACAAGUGGUUUAAGUUAAUGUGGUACAACUCUGUAGCCUUCCAGGGAUCUAAUUUCAUGCCAAAAUAAAAGUUAGGUUACCUAGGGGUUUCAAUGGGGAGCAUUUCCAUUGAAAACUUUUCUAAAUUUCACAUUUCUUACUGGGUUUGAGAGUAGCUGAGUAGCAAAAAAUUAUGGUUUUGCUGCCUGAGGUGGUUUUGGAGUAUUGAUGUCCUAUAUUUCUAAUUAAGGGCAGACUCACAUGUCUUUAAAAUCAAGAGAACAGAGGCAACUAUUAUUGAUGACAAAAAGAAAAGACUUUUUGUAACACGAAGAGUUCUGUAGCAACUACAACUAGGAUCCUUUUCAUAAUAGGUAAAAUAUCAACAUAAUGUCUUUCAGAACAGAAUAGGAGUUAUUAUUAAUUCAAAUUUAGUAGAUGCUGUGAACCAGGAACUAUAGGAACAAGAACUGGAGAGUGAGAAAAUUAAGAACCCAUUUGUCGAAAAAAGAGUGAAUAAUAUCAUGGAACAACAGCAACAGGCAAAUGAGAGAAAUAUCAGGAGUUGGCCUUGGAAAACAUAUCUUUGGAAGGAAAUGAAAAUAGCUAAAGGAAAAGGAGAAUGAUAAAAAAAUGAAACCUGACCUCACAGGAGAGAGUGACAGAGCAUGCCCAGAGAAGAAACCUCCUUGGAACAAUGUUUUGCUACACUAAGGAAGCAGGAAGAGCAUAUUGUUUGCUUCAGUUGUAGCCUUGGUUUAAAGAAAUAUGAAGAUGAAGAUAAAGACCUGCACUAUUUUGGUAGCAAAUUAGCUGAAGAAAUGCUGACUCCAGAAAGAGGAACAGCAAAAGUGGUUAUUCUUCUCAGUCUUAGUUUUUGAGCAUUUCAAUAUUGAAAAGUUAUGUUUUCUUCUACCCACAUAAAUAUUUGCCACCUAAUGGAUUAAUUUUGAAAAGACAAACUAUUUCUUUAGCAGUUAUUGCUUUUGAGAAAUUUAUGAAAACUGAGAAGGGUAUCAAGGGCAAAAUUUAGGGAAAAGGACUUUAAGUCCCUUUCUUACCAUGUUCCCCAUAGAAUUAACAGAUACCCAGUACUGUCGUAUGUUAAGAACAGUGAUUUCUCCACAUAAUGAUUAUGUUUUAAACCCUUGACUUGCAAUAAUGCCUAACAUAUUUAUCCCUGACAAUUGUAUACUGUCAAUUUCUCUCUUUACCUAUACGGACCUGGUCUUUCUUCCCUACCCCUGCCCCAACUUGCUUAGAAAGCAAGAAGAUUGUUCUAUCUAGGCAGCAUCACCACUUGGUUAUCAUCUUUAUUCACCUUCAGAGUGACAACUCAUUUUCUUUAUUUACCACUUGUGACUUUGUUAAUACAAAAGAAAUAAGAUACAAAAAUUUUCUCUGGACAUUGACAAGUGUUUUGACUAAUAUAUAUUUUGAAUGAUGAAUAAAAUGUUCAAAAUGAUUAGCUUCUAAGUCUAUGAUGUUGCAUUUUUUUGCAGUGGAAAUAUAUUCAAAUUAUAUAAAUAUAUGAUUCCUGCUCAAUCUAGUUCUAUUAUUGAAUGUGUUUUGGUCAUUAAAAGUCAUUUUCUUUUUUUUUAAAGAUUUUAUUU